CCAACAUUGUACCCAUGUCCAUCCCUCACACCACCAGCCGAGAUGUCACCUUCCAGGAAUACUUCAUCAAAAAGGUGGCGUCUGUGAUUCCUUUAUUGAUGUCCGUCCUACAGGACAAUAGCGAAUGGGAGAGCCUCCACUCCUUUAACCCCUCCCACUUUCUGGAUGAGCAGUGACGAUUCGUCAACAGGGAUGCCUUCAUGGCCUUUUCUGCAGGAUGAAGCUCUUCCUCUUCUUCACCUCCCUUCUGUAGCGCUUUAGUUUCUCUCCACCUCCUGGAGUAACAGAGGAUGAUCUGGACCUCACACCAUCCGUGGGGUUCACCCUCCACCCUUCACCUCACCAGCUGUGUGCUGUGAGCCGGGUCUGAGAUGAGUCUGGACCAAUGUACAGUAUAUUACACACUGUUUAGAACAACUUCUUUACUUUAGCCAAACAAAGGGCUAUGCUGAAUUUUUAAAAACAUGGUGUUGUGAAUGAUCUGUAAGUCACUUUGGACAAAAGCAUCUGCAAAAUGACAUGAUUGUAUACUGAAGAAAUACCUUGCUUGGUACAGUAAAUGUGUGUGUACUCUUUGCAUCGCAACACCGGCGAGGAAGAUGAAUCAGAUGUUUAAGUCUUAUUAUAGAGAACAAACCAUUUCCUACUAAUAUAUUUAAAAUAUAUAUAUUUAAAAAAAUGUGGGUAUCUUAAAACGUGUAUAUUUGUGAUAGUGGAUUUUCCCGUAGUGAUAUCGGUGUAACAGGUUUGUCCAGUUAGGGUAAAGAGGACCAAUAGAAGCACUCAACCUUUCUUUAUGUAGGGACCUUUAGACUGCAUAAAACGACCAAUACCUUUUACACAGAAACACAGAGACUGGUGUUAUCAGCUGUAAAUGUUGCCAAAGGGCCAACCUGAAGCACAGGUUAUUGACCCAAGCUAAAGAUCAUUCUCUCUAAUCCUGUGUUUGGUUUAGAUGUGUUUGUUAACUAUUAAUGAAUUAAAAUAAAAUGUAUCUAGUUCUGAACUGAACUGGUGCUCCUGCAUUCCUGGA